GGUGGUUCUCGGGUGAGGCACCCCAGAAUCGGGCUCCCUCCUCUCUGGUUCUGGGUGUGUCACUGGAGAACCACA
rfam:Myotis lucifugus cont2.12383, whole genome shotgun sequence.